GAAACAGAGAGCUGAGAACGGGAGAGGUUGGAAAAAAUCGAGAAUGGAAAGGAAGAAAAAGAAGAAAAGAAAGGAAAGGAAGAAGUUGAUGACUUUUGCAAGUUUGGGUUCUUCAUUUCUUCAAUUUAUGCUUCUUUUAAAGAGGUACGUUAAUUAAAUUUCUAGGGUUUAUGAACAAUUCAUUUAUAUUCGAAGUCUAGCAAGAAUUAGAGAUUAUUAAUAUAUAUUUGAGGUAUUAAACAAGAGUAUAUCAAGGAAAUUUAUAAAGAAAGAUUGAUGUUGUAGAAAGUGAAAUUUUGAAAAUGGAAAUGGAUACCUAUUCUUUGUUUUUUUGUGAUUAUAUGGUGUCAACCACUUAAUUUAAGGACA
rnacentral:lncRNA from 1 species